rnacentral:rRNA from 1 species
GACGAACGCUGGCGGCGUGCUUAACACAUGCAAGUCGAACGGAAAGGCCCUGCUUUUGUGGGGUGCUCGAGUGGCGAACGGGUGAGUAACACGUGAGUAACCUGCCCUUGACUUUGGGAUAACUUCAGGAAACUGGUGCUAAUACCGGCUAGGAGCUCCUGCUGCAUGGUGGGGGUUGGACAGUUUCGGCGGUUGGGGAUGGACGCGCGGCUUAUCAGCUUGUUGGUGGGGUAGUGGCUUACCAAGGCUUUGACGGGUAGCCGGCCUGAGAGGGUGACCGGCCACAUUGGGACUGAGAUACGGCCCAGACUCCUACGUGAGGCAGCAGUGGGGAAUAUUGCACAAUGGGCGGAAGCCUGAUGCAGCAACGCCGCGUGCGGGAUGACGGCCUUCGGGUUGUAAACCGCUUUCGCCUGUGACGAAGCGUGAGUGACGGUAAUGGGUAAAGAAGCACCGGCUAACUACGUG